AAAAAAACUAUUAUGAAGAAAAAACUUAUGUGUCGGGUGAUUGACUGAUUCCAGAAUAUUGGAGAUGAGUUGGAUACUCGAUCAUUUACGAGGCUGUGAACACUUUAUAGGCAAUUAAGGCGGACGUCUCAAUAGUACAAUUUUCUGUAUUUUGCUUACUUGAAUUUUUGCUAGAAGUUGUAGAA